ACGCCUAACACAUGCAAGUCGAACGCAGUAGCAAUACUGAGUGGCAAACGGGUGAGUAUAAUGUGGGAAUCUGCCUUUUGGUUCAGAAUAACACGGGGAAACUUGUGCUAAUACUGGAUAAGCCCUUACGGGGAAAGUUUUAACGCCGAAAGAUGAGCCUGCACUUGAUUAGCUAGUUGGUAAGGUAAAGGCUUACCAAGGCAAUGAUCAAUAGCUGUUCUUAGAGGAAGACCAGCCACAUUGGGACUGAGACACGGCCCAGACUCCUACGGGAGGCAGCAGUGGGGAAUCUUGCACAAUGGGGGAAACCCUGAUGCAGCGAUGCCGCGUGAGUGAAGAAGGCCCUUGGGUUGUAAAACUCUUUCGUCGGGGAAGAAAAUGACUGUACCCGAAUAAGAAGGUCCGGCUAACUUCGUGCCAGCAGCCGCGGUAAUACGAAGGGACCUAGCGUAGUUCGGAAUUACUGGGCUUAAAGAGCUCGUAGGUGGUUAAAAAAGUUGAUGGUGAAAUCCCAAGGCUCAACCUUGGAACUGCCAUCAAAACUUUUUAGCUAGAGUGUGAUAGAGGUAAGUGGAAUUUCUAGUGUAGAGGUGAAAUUCGUAGAUAUUAGAAAGAACACCAAAUGCGAAGGCAACUUACUGGGUCACUACUGACACUGAGGAGCGAAAGCAUGGGUAGCGAAGAGGAUUAGAUACCCUCGUAGUCCAUGCCGUAAACGAUGUGUGCUAGACGUUGGAAAUAUAUUUUUCAGUGUCGCAGCGAAAGCAUUAAGCACACCGCCUGGGGAGUACGACCGCA
rnacentral:rRNA from 1 species